rnacentral:rRNA from 1 species
CAUUGAAACUGGCGAACUUGAGUACAGUAGAGGUAGGCGGAAUUCGUGGUGUAGNNNNGAAAUGCUUAGNUAUNNNGAAGAACUCCGAUUGCGAAGGCAGCUUGCUGGACUGUAACUGACGCUGAGGCACGAAAGCGUGGGGAUCAAACAGGAUUAGAUACCCUGGUAGNCCACGCCGUAAACGAUGAAUGCUAGCUGUUAGCGAUAUACUGUUAGCGGCACAGAGAAAUCGUUAAGCAUUCCACCUGGGGAGUACGCCGGCAACGGUGAAACUCAAAGGAAUUGACGGGGGCCCGCACAAGCGGAGGAACAUGUGGUUUAAUUCGAUGAUACGCGAGGAACCUUACCUGGGCUUAAAUUGCAGUGGAAUAACGUGGAAACAUGUUAGCCUUCGGGCCGCUGUGAAGGUGCUGCAUGGUUGUCGUCAGCUCGUGCCGUGAGGUGUCGGCUUAAGUGCCAUAACGAGCGCAACCCUCAUCGAUAGUUACUAACAGGUUAAGCUGAGGACUCUAUCGAGACUGCCGACGUAAGUCGUGAGGAAGGUGGGGAUGACGUCAAAUCAGCACGGCCCUUACGUCCAGGGCUACACACGUGUUACAAUGGGGGGUACAAAGGGCAGCUACCUGGCGACAGGAUGCUAAUCUCAAAAACCUCUCUCAGUUCGGAUUGGAGUCUGCAACUCGACUCCAUGAAGCUGGAUUCGCUAGUAAUCGCGCAUCAGCCAUGGCGCGGUGAAUACGUUCCCGGGCCUUGUACACACCGCCCGUCAAGCCAUGGAAGCUGGGGGUACCUGAAGUAUGCAGCCGCAAGGAGCGUCCUAGGGUAAAACCGGUAACUGGGGCU